GCCGUAGGUGACCAGUUACGUACGGAAAACUUACGUAAACGCAGUAAUCCUUUGAAUUUAGAUCAGAAAUAAUCAGUUUUACGUUACGUCUACGUAAUUGCGGGUUAUUAAUAGUCCUGAGAGCCCUUUUGUUUCCUAACUCAUUACGCUACCAUGCCGGAUUGAUGUCUAAGGUACUUUAUUACGUCACUGUUUACACCUGRACCACUCUAUAAAUAGUGGGUGGGCGAGUUUGUUAGUUCAAACAACGACCAAUCCAGGUCAUUCCAGGAAAAGUAUUUGGUACUAAUUUGGUAUAAAAAGAAUAACACUUACAGUCAUUGCUGCUCCAAUCAAGUUCACAUCGACGAUGAGAGUGAGUACAUCAAGUAGAUACGCCGUUUUUCUGAUCCUUCUCGUCCUAGGGCAAGAGUUCUGCGCCGGUCACCCUUUCUCAGUMAGCUCCCUGAAAGAUCGACGCAUAGAGAAAAGAGAAACUGAAGAAGAUAAUGCAGUUCAAGUAAAAAUCCGACAAAAACG